rnacentral:rRNA from 1 species
GACGAACGCUGGCGGCGUGCUUAACACAUGCAAGUCGAACGCUGAAGCUUGGGUGCUUGCAUCUGGGUGGAUGAGUGGCGAACGGGUGAGUAAUACGUGAGUAACCUGCCCUUGACUCUGGGAUAAGCCUGGGAAACUGGGUCUAAUACUGGAUACUACAUUCUCUCGCAUGGGGGUGUGUGGAAAGGGUUUUACUGGUUUUGGAUGGGCUCACGGCCUAUCAGCUUGUUGGUGGGGUAAUGGCCUACCAAGGCGACGACGGGUAGCCGGCCCGAGAGGGUGACCGGCCACACUGGGACUGAGACACGGCCCAGACUCCUACGGGAGGCAGCAGUGGGGAAUAUUGCACAAUGGGCGAAAGCCUGAUGCAGCGACGCCGCGUGAGGGAUGACGGCCUUCGGGUUGUAAACCUCUUUCAGCACGGAAGAAGCGAAAGUGACGGUACGUGCAGAAGAAGCGCCGGCUAACUACGUGCCAGCAGCCGCGGUAAUAC